AUGACGAUUCUGCGAUUAAUCAUGCUGGCUCUGGUGACAGUGCACCUGCCCCAUACCUUGCGAUGUGCCAACAUCACCAUCAUCGAGCACAAGGAGUGUGAGAAGGCCUACCCCGGCGACAUCACAGACACCAUGGUGUGUGCCAGCGUUCAAGAAGAGGGCAAGGACUCCUGCCAGGGCGACUCUGGGGGCCCUCUGGUCUGUAACGGAUCUCUUCAAGGCAUUAUCUCCUGGGGCCAGGAUCCAUGUGCUGUCUCCAGAAAGCCUGGUGUCUAUACAAAGGUCUGCAAAUAUGUGGACUGGAUCCAGGAGACUAUGCAGAACAAUUAGCAGGACAAAUUGACCCCAGCCCCAAACCCCCGACCCCUACUUGGUGCUGUGGUUCCUGUUCAUUCAGCUAAUAAUAAAGCAGCCUAAGCCAGG
rnacentral:lncRNA from 1 species